rnacentral:rRNA from 1 species
UACGAAGGGUGCAAGCGUUAUUCGGAAUUAUUGGGCGUAAAGGGCGCGUAGGCGGCUAGAUGUGUCAAAGGUGAAAUCCCUCGGCUCAACUGAGGAACUGCCUUUGAAACUGUCUGGCUUGAGGCCGGGAGAGGGUAGCGGAAUUCCCAGUGUAGCGGUGAAAUGCGUAGAUAUUGGGAGGAACACCAGUGGCGAAGGCGGCUACCUGGACCGGUUCUGACGCUGAGGCGCGAAAGCGUGGGUAGCAAACAGG